GCGAACGCUGGCGGCAGGCUUAACACAUGCAAGUCGAGCGGGCGUAGCAAUACGUCAGCGGCAGACGGGUGAGUAACGCGUGGGAACGUACCUUUUGGUUCGGAACAACACAGGGAAACUUGUGCUAAUACCGGAUAAGCCCUUACGGGGAAAGAUUUAUCGCCGAAAGAUCGGCCCGCGUCUGAUUAGCUAGUUGGUGAGGUAACGGCUCACCAAGGCGACGAUCAGUAGCUGGUCUGAGAGGAUGAUCAGCCACAUUGGGACUGAGACACGGCCCAAACUCCUACGGGAGGCAGCAGUGGGGAAUAUUGGACAAUGGGGGCAACCCUGAUCCAGCCAUGCCGCGUGAGUGAUGAAGGCCCUAGGGUUGUAAAGCUCUUUUGUGCGGGAAGAUAAUGACGGUACCGCAAGAAUAAGCCCCGGCUAACUUCGUG
rnacentral:rRNA from 1 species